AGCUCCAAUAGCGUAUAUUAAAGUUGUUGCGGUUAAAAAGCUCGUAGUUGGAUCUGCGGCUUUGGAGAGUGGUCCCCCACUGGGUGGUUACUACUUCUCCUGGCCUAAUAGUCGUUUUUCCACUGAUGCUCUUCACUGAGUGUCUGUGGUAGACGACGAGUUUACUUUGAAAAAAUUAGAGUGCUCAAAGCAGGCGUAUCAGCCUGAAUAAUGGUGCAUGGAAUAAUGGAAUAGGACCUUGGUUCUAUUUUGUUGGUUUCUGAACUCAAGGUAAUGAUUAAGAGGGACAGACGGGGGCAUUCGUAUGGCUGCGUUAGAGGUGAAAUUCUUGGAUCGUAGCCAGACGAACUACUGCGAAAGCAUUUGCCAAGAAUGUUUUCAUUAAUCAAGAACGAAAGUA
rnacentral:rRNA from 1 species